UACGGAGGAUCCAAGCGUUAUCCGGAUUUAUUGGGUUUAAAGGGUGCGUAGGCGGCCUGUUAAGUCAGGGGUGAAAGACGGUAGCUCAACUAUCGCAGUGCCCUUGAUACUGAUGGGCUUGAAUGGACUAGAGGUAGGCGGAAUGAGACAAGUAGCGGUGAAAUGCAUAGAUAUGUCUCAGAACACCGAUUGCGAAGGCAGCUUACUAUGGUCUCAUUGACGCUGAGGCACGAAAGCGUGGGGAUCAAACAGG
rnacentral:rRNA from 1 species